ACAUCAAUUCAACAGAAUUGCAAUGAUGAAGCUGCUGUCAGUCUUCAUCCUCCUCCUGCUUCCUCUGAUGACCUGCUGUGAACCUUUCAUCCUUCCACUGGACUGCAGCGAUGUCUAUAACCAAGACACCAGUCGAACCAGUGGAGUGUACACCAUCUAUCCCAUUGGAGCCACGUCUGCUGUCCUGGUGUACUGUGACAUGGACUCACAAGGACAGUGGACGGUG